AUGCCUGGUCAGUACCUUGUCGUAGACAGCGACCUGGAGGGAGAAGCCCAGGUAGUCACUGAGGCCCUGCUUGUGGGCGAUGUGCAGGCAGAUUUCCCUCGAUGUGGAGGCCGAGUCGACGGUGACGGUCAAGCUUUCCCCAGUUACCAUGAUGACCUGGAUCGGGAUGUGCUUCUUGGACUUGACAGCCUGGGGGCAGAGGCAGACUCAGGCCCUGGGCUCAGCUGCCUGCCUGCGAGCCCCUGGAACCCCAAAACAGAGGCCAGCCCCCAUCCCCCACCCCUCUCUCCCUGAUCCACUGCCCCUGCUUGCCCUUCCCCGGAGGUCCCCGGGCUCCCAGGUCGGACGCGGCUCGGCACGGAGAACCACGCUCAGGCCGACCGGGGUCUGCCCCGGGAGGACAGCUGUCAGGCGGGAGCAGCGUUAGCCCACACGUCCGGCCACUUGCGUGCUUCUCCAGGUCCACCUCGGCAGCUCCGGGGGUGCUGCCUGCAGGCUGGCACAGCCCCAGUUUUCAAUGAGAACCCUGAGCUUGGUGAGGUUAAGUGACUUAGACUGGCAGAGGUGACCUGCAGCCACCGGGAUAGGGUACCGCGGGGUCACAGAGGUGAGCACCUUGCAGGCUGGGGCUGGACCAGAACUGUGGGAAGAGCAGGGUGCAGGGACCCCUCCUGGCUGUUCUGAGUGACACUGUGAGAACUCAGGUGAUGCAGCUGCCAGAGCAGGAUGAGGCAGCACCUGCUCCCAGGAGUAGCGCCACCAAGGACAACAGCCUUGGCGUGGCCACUGCCUUCUUCACAAGUGAACGCCCUGGGAGGGGUGGCGUUCGGAGCAGUUAGCCCAGCACAGCGCUGAUAAGUGGCCAGAUGGGCCUUCCCUCCAGCCAGUAGGGCCCUGCAAGAACGUGGGUCUAGAGGUGGAGGCACCUCGGAAGGCUGGGGAGGCUGCGCCCCAUGAAGGGGGGCCCCCAGGGACCAUCGGCCUGGGAGGUAACGCAGAGGAGACAGAGGAGCUUGAGGACAAAGGACCUAUCCUGGCAGCAGGCACCUCACUAGCUGUACUGGGGGAGCCUGCAGCCUGCCCUGCCCCUCACCGCCCACUUCCCACCCUGCCGGCCCUACCUGCAGCUCCAGCCAGGUGGGGGGCUCCGUCCGCACCCCGUUGGCGCAGGUGCGUCUCAGGCGCUCAGUGCAGAAGGGCCCGUAACUCGCCGGCCCCCGACCAAUGAAGUUCAGGAGAUACUGGGGGGCGAGGAAGGGAGAGGGGCGGAUGCUCAGGAUGAAGGCCAGUUUCUACUUACUGCCCACUCAGACUUUAAAAACCACAACAUCCAGUUUAUAAAGAUGCACUGAGACGGCGCACACUCCUCGCGGGGAGAAACGCAGCUCAGUACGUCCGCGAGGAGCAGCCUGGCAAUACGUGUGCAAGUGCCUCGCUUUAGAGCCCACGUGCUCUUUGCCCCUAACGCAAGCCUAUCCUCCAGGUGGGUACACACGCACGGUCACAGUGGUAUCCAUGGUGGUGAGUGACUGGCAGACAGACCCUGCAAGUCCACCCCCAGUCCAGUAUCCCGUGGGGACCAGGCGUUACCGCUGGCAUCGGGGAGGUUUGCGCCGUGAGAAAACGUCAUGAACAUUUCUGUGGUGUAAAUGUUCCCACCAAGGCCAAUUUCGAGCUGCCAGCAUGAUGUCACAACUGAACACAGAGUUGGGAAGAGGGGUGCACGGCAAGCCGCUGGGAGCCCCGGCACACACGCUCUCUCCACGGCCCACAGACACCGCCAACCGCUCACCCAGCCUGGAAACCUGGGGUCGUUCUAGACUCCUCCCAUCGCUUCAUCCCCCAGGUCCAACCAGCCACCGCAUCCUGCCCCCUCUCUCCUGGAUGUCUUCUCUGGCCCCGACUCUUGGCCUCUGUGUCCUGGGCCAUCCCUCAUCAGCUCUCCCUGGACCUCUGUAGCGGGCCCUGCCCGGCCUCCUACCCCCAGGCUCCACCCGCCACGUGACUGCCAGGAAGAUCAUUCUGGAAGUCAGCUAUGAUCAUAGUCCUCUGGUGCUUAAAACUUUCCCCACUUCCCUUAGAAUUGAAUCUGAACUCCCUGACCCAGCUGUGACAAACCACUGAGAAUUCCAGGUCCCUCCAGGCCAUUUCAAGGGUGAGCUGUUCUCCCUUGCCCUCUGCCUGGGGGGCACCCCCAGAUGGCACUAAGGCCACCCCUCCUUGGUGCCCUCACUGAACCCCGAACGUACUAAGAUGCUCAUGCUGCCGCUGUGGCUGUCCUGGUCCUCUCCUGUCCCCCGACCAGAGGACAAGCUCCUCAGGGCAGGUACGUGUCGUCUUCGUCUCACAUGCCCAGCCCCCAGGCCAGGGCCCAUGUACUUAAAACAUGUAUAUGAAUGUGUGAUGGAUACAGAAUAGCACAUUUCUUUUGGUCUCAGAAUUUGGCCAGGACCCCAGAACCAUGGAAAAAUGGAUGCUAACAUCCAAUAUUCUUGUAGAAUUUGCUAAACAACAGCAGAACCAGUCUAGCUGCCAUGCCUCCUCCAGGCUGCGUGAGGGAAGAUGAGAAAUUUGGAAGGUGAUUCCUAGAAGGGACCUCACGGGAAUAGAGAGAUCUGUGGCCCAUUUUUACUCCCCAUAAGUGAUGGGGGGUUGUGAGGGGGACCCCAGGAGAACUGCCAAUAGGGAUGGGCCUGUCAGAGAUGAGACCCUCUCACGCCCCAGGGGAGGCACACUGAGCCCCGGAAGCCCACCGACCUCCCCCAGGGUGCUGGAAGGGAGCCUGGUGACAGUGUUCUUCCCACUGCUUGACUUAUGUGCCCUGAGUUGGGGACAUCCAUGGAAAAAAAGGCUAGUGUCUGCUUCCUCCUGGAGAAUUCUAAGCCCGGGGCAAGGUGGAGAGAGAGACUCAAGGGAUGGCAGCUGCACACGAACUGCUCAGUGGGGCAAGUGUGAGCUUCCUGCCGGCCAAGAGGGUGCGUGGAGGGAGCUGGGCUUCAGGCAUCCAGACAGGACCCCACAUCAGCAGGCAGCCCAUUAUUCCAGAAGACCCCAGCAGUAGGAGGCUGUGGGAUGUUCCACUGGGGGCUCGAGUCAGCAGGGGCUCUCACGGGAUUACUGAGGGUGUCACUGUUGGACACUGCCUAUGGGGGUAUCUGAAGAGCCAACAGUGCACCUCGUUCUGACACAACCUUUACGUGUGUGCCGUGGUGGAGGGUGUGGUGGCCAGCGAAGAUUCACCACGAGAGAACUGCCAACAGAAGCAGCCGAGUUAGAGGACUUGCCAGUUGGUGUGGCAUGGGCAGCUAAACUUGACUAGAAGCCCUGUGGUCCUCCUGGCUGAAAGCACCAGAGGGCUGAGCCUGGGGCACCACACACCUUGAAAGUGGACGGGAAUCUUGCAAUGAAGAGAACCAGAGAAGGGGAGUCCUAAAUUUUUCAUAUAAAAUCCUAAAUCUCCGGCUGACCCCUCAUGGUGGGGCAGCACGGUGGGGCCCUCGUGGUGGGGCAGAUGCCAUGGCACCAGCUAAGGCAAAGUAGCUGCACAGGGAUCCCAGCUGCUGCUCCCCAUGUGGGAGACAGAGUUUGAAUCCAGCCAAGCUAGUCACCCGCCAGAACAAAAAGUCAAUGCUCUUUGAACGCCGGAACAGCAGCCAGGGGCUCUAAACGUACCAUCCUCAGUGUCCGGGAGACAGUCCCAAAGUGCUAGACCCAGGAGGAGGCAACAGUCAAGUGCCAGACACGGCGGGGAACAGGAGGCACGGCCAUCCUCACGAGAAAAGGCAGCUGGGCACACUGACCCCAAGGUGACCCAGAGAGUGGAUUUGCGAGAAGGUUAAAAACUACUGUAACUCUGCUCAAGGACAUAAAGAAAGCUACACUUAUGGUGAGCGGGCAAGUAGGAAAUCUUGGCACAGAAACAAAAGUGUAAAAAAGAUCCAAGUGCAAAUUCUAGAACUGAAAAAAUAAUACCUGGAAUAAAACAUUUGUUAGUUGGUAUAAGAGCAGGUUAGGGAAGACAGAGAAAGAUCAGCGAAUUGGAAGACAGAUUAGUAGAAACGGCCCAAUCUAAAGAACAAAGGGAAAGGAAGAAAAGCCGGGCAGACCCUCAGGGUCACCAUGCCGGUCUCAAAACAGCUCACACGGGUUAAUGAGAGUUUGAAGGAAAAGACAGAGAAUGAGUUAGAAAAAAUAUUUGAAGAAAUAGUGACCAACAGUUUCUCAGAUUUGGUUAAAAAUAUUAACUAAGUAAGUGGACCCCUAAAGUGCAGUCGUCUGUCCCUGAAAGCAGUAUGUAGCUGUCCCUCUGCCUCCGUGGAGACGCAUUCUACCAAUCCAGCCAACUGUGGGUGGAAAAUACGGCGUUCACAGGCAAACUGCACGGACUUCUAAGUGGUAUGAAACCCCAACUCCUAUAAGGCCAGCUGUAUAGAAAGCAAAAAGCAUACUGCAAAUGAGGAACCUGCUCAUUUUCCAGGCCCUGUGCUAAAGCCUGUUCCCAAGUGAAUCAGCAGCACAUGAUGAAUGUGUUUUCCUGAAAUGGGGUUUUUCCUGUGGGGUUUCUUACUGCAGAGCAAGCAGAGAAGCCUGGGUGGCCGUAACACCUGCUCUCCUGAGACCCAGCCUUCAGGCCCCAGGACGGGGGGCGUCUCGUGGGCAGGGAGGUUGUGGCCCUGGGCUGGGAGGCUGGGAGGGGCUCCGACGCUGAGCAUGGGGUGGGCGGGGGUGGGUACUGACCUGAGGCCAGGCCGCAGGAUGGCGUAGCCCACGAUGAAGUGCACCUUCUCCAGGUUGGACAUGGGGCGGUCCGUGACGGGGCCACUGGGCUCAAAUGCCUCCUCUCCAGUGUUCAGCUGGCUGGCCACCUGGAACUCAAAGGCGGCCGUCAGCACAGCUGUGACUCUCCCCAUUUGCCAAGGAGGAAACUGGCGCGAGGAGAGGGAAGCCACCGCCUGGGACCCUGCUGGGACAGAUUGAGGUUCCGUGCCCUGGGCUCACCUGGCCCGUGACCCGGGAGGACCGCUUCAGCUUCAUGGAGGAGAUCUCCUUGGUUCCCCUGUCCCUGCGGCCGGGCCUCUGUGGAAGGGGACAGUUCAAGAAUGACUGUGGCUCGGGGCUGUCCUAAGCCUGGGCUCACCUUGGUGAUGCUGCCCCUGCAGCCAAUGGGGGGCCAGAGUGAGUGUCCCUCUCGUCGGGCAUCUCCUGGCCCCAGCUACAAAGCACCAGCGCCAUGCGAGCUUCACAACACGCACACGUGCACAUCGCCUGCCGGGCGAGGAAAAGGAGGCCCAGGGACGGCAAGAGACUAGACAAAAGCUGCUCACCAUCCUUCUGGGAUGGGCUCAGGGCUGUUCUUCUGAUCCCAAAGCUUGUGCCCUCCCCAGUCAAGCUCUCCGAGGACGGACUGGGUCUGAGCCCAGGUGCUUGGGACGCCCCCAAGCCAUGGUCACUCAGUAAAAAUGCGGCAGAUGAAUCAGAGGAGGCUCUGCCCGCUGCCAGGAGAGCUCUGCCCGGGGUUCAGAAGAGCCCAGGCUUCAAGCUGGCAUCCAGGCAGGGCAGGGCAGGGCCUGCCCCCAACUGUUAGCAUCUAGUGGUCUCCUUAGGCAGAGGCUGUUCCUUGUCAUGAUGGUGUCAGGAGAAGAAUUUGCUGUCAAAAUUGGAGCUCAGUGUGGGACUGGACCUGGGUUGAGAUCAGCCCAGUCUGGGGCCAGGCACCAGCUUCUGGCUGGGGCAAAGCUGGUUUGCCACAUGGGGGCUGACUGUGAGACAUGCUAGCUGGCGAGCUCUAAGAGGUCUGGCUCGGCCCACUGCCCUGUGCGUGGGGCACGUGGCAGGUACUUAACAAAUGUGCGCAGGAAGGAAAACCUGAGAUCUGACCUCCAGGAAGCCAGUCCUGCUUCCCCCGUGUCCAUCCUCCAGAGGUGCAGGGUGGCUGGACUGCCUCCCAGAGUCCCUUCCCGGAGCAGUCGCCAGCCUCCAAGGCACCUCCUGACAUUCCUGCCCUGUGUGGGAAUGUGACCUCAAGACUAGACGUUGCAUCUUCCUUCUUGCUUCCUUUCUAGAAUCAGCCAUGCUGGGGGAAGCCACGUUGUGAGGAUGCUCAGGCAGUUGGCAGAGAGGCCCAUGUGGGGAGGAAUGGAAGCCUCCUGCUAUCAGCCACAUGGGUGAGCCAUCUUGAGAGUGGACUGUCCAGCCCCAGGUGACAGCUUGGUGGCAGCCUCAUGAGAGACCCUGAGCCAGAACUAUCCUGCUAAGCUGAUCCUGAGCCCCAGAAACUGUGUGAGAUAAUAAAUUUGUGCUAUUUUAA